AGUGAACGCUGGCGGUAGGCCUAACACAUGCAAGUCGAACGGCAGCACAGUAAGAGCUUGCUCUUACGGGUGGCGAGUGGCGGACGGGUGAGGAAUACAUCGGAAUCUACUUUUUCGUGGGGGAUAACGUAGGGAGACUUACGCUAAUACCGCAUACGACCUACGGGUGAAAGCAGGGGAUCUUCGGACCUUGCGCGAUUGAAUGAGCCGAUGUCGGAUUAGCUAGUUGGCGGGGUAAAGGCCCACCAAGGCGACGAUCCGUAGCUGGUCUGAGAGGAUGAUCAGCCACACUGGAACUGAGACACGGUCCAGACUCCUACGAGAGGCAGCAGUGGGGAAUAUUGGACAAUGGGCGCAAGCCUGAUCCAGCCAUACCGCGUGGGUGAAGAAGGCCUUCGGGUUGUAAAGCCCUUUUGUUGGGAAAGAAAAGCAGCAGGUUAAUACCCCGCUGUUCUGACGGUACCCAAAGAAUAAGCACCGGCUAACUUCGUG
rnacentral:rRNA from 1 species